rnacentral:snRNA from 1 species
AUACGCACAGUAGUUACAGAACAUACAGAAAAAAGAAUGAGGAGGGCGUUAAAAUAUUUCACCACAUGCGGGAAACUCGACUGCAUAAUUUGCGGUAGUGGGGGACUGUGUUCGCGCUCUCCCCUG